rnacentral:lncRNA from 1 species
AUCUUCCCAACACAGAGCAAACUGAAUCUCUUCACAAAAAAGUAAAAGAACAGAUUCAAUCUUUUCGCCAAAAAGUUGGUUCACUGCAAGCGCUUCUUGAAACAUUGGAGAAGAAUAUCAAUGAUCCUAAGACAAUUGAACAUUGUGAAGUCAAGAUCAAAGAUGUAGCACAUGAUGCAGAAUAUAGAAUUGAAUCAGAAAUGGAAAAAUUUUAUAAGGCUCAAAAUGAAAAGGUUAGGAGAGAAGCUUAUGAGGAUUUUUGCAAGAGGUUGCAAAAAGCAUCUGAGUCCAUAGAUUCCAAUUCCAGAAAGUUAACUGAAAGUAUGAAGAGUGGUUUGCAGGCAACUAGUUCACUUGUCCAAAGUUUUGAUUUACCCGAACAUUCUCCACAGCUUGGCAAUAACAUGGUUGGACAUGAAAAUGAAGUGGAGGAUGUGAAGUGUAAACUCAUGAAAAUCUCAUCCGAUGAAAGAGAAACUAUGGCAAUCACAGGUAUGGGGGCAUAGGCAAGACAACCUUUGCUAGAAAAAUUUAUGAUGAUCCAGAAAUUAAAUCACAUUUUGACAUUCUAGCAUGGGUUACUGUGUCAAAGGAAUAUUGUGUUAGAAAGAUGUUGCUGCAGCUUCUUCAUUGUAUUCCAUCAACAGAAGAAGUACGCCGUGAAGCAAGGGAUGAUGGUGAGCUAGCAGGCAAAUUGAAACAGAGGCUGUGGAAAUGCAGGUACCUAGUUGUCAUCGACGAUAUAUGGAGCAGCAAAGCUUGGGAUAAUAUAAGUCCAUGGUUUCCAGAUUGCAAAGGAAGUCAUAUCCCACUUACCACAAGGUGCGGGAAUGUGGCCAGUUAUGCUGCUCCAGGUAAGACUCCUCAUCACAUGUCUUCUCUAAGUCCAGAGAAAAGUUGGGAACUAUUGCAAUCGAAGCUUCUUGAGAAAGUAGAGCUCUCUCCAGAAUUAGUAAAAAUUGGAAAGAAAAUUGCAGAAAAUUGUCAUGGAAUGCCUUUGACUAUUACUGUAGUUGCUGGAAUUCUAUCUAAAUGCAACAAUGCAUUAGAUGGAUGGAAGCGAGUAGCACAUGAUGUAAAAUCAGCAAUAUUUAAAGAUCUUGGCAGACAAUGCGAAAGGUCCUCGGGUUAAGUUACUACUAUCUUCCUCAACACCUAAAUGCUUGCUUUCUAUAUUUUGGAAUUUUUCCCCAAGAUGAAGAAGUUGAUGUGAGAAAAUUAGUGGAGCUAUGGGUUGCACAGGGAUUUUUAAAGGAAGCUGAUAAUAAAAGUUUGGAGGACAUAGCAGGAGAAUGUUUGCAAGAACUUAUAGACAGAAAUCUGGUUCUUGUAAGCGAGCAGAGUUUUUGGGGAGAAGUGGAAACAUGUAAGAUCCAUGACCUCUUACAUGAGUUAUGCUUAAGACAAACUCGAAGUGAGAACUUCCUACCUGUUACAAAAAGUAAACCACUGAAUCGAGUCACGUGUGUCUCCCGAUCAUCUGUACAGGAUUGUCUAAUUAGUGAUUUUUAUUGGUUAAACUCUCUUCGCCGUGAUCAAAAGAAAAUAUGCACUAUUGUCUAGACAGACAAGAGGGGUUGCUCUGAUGGUAAGCAACCCCCACUUCCAACCGAGAGGUUGUGAGAUUCCACCAGUUUGCGCUGGUCCUGCAGUGUCUUCUUGAAGUUCUCUAUGCGUUAAAAAGACGGUCUAGUUUGCGAAGUAUCUCAUAUCUAUAUAAAGUUCGGGCAAGAGUCGCACUCCAAAAGAAUAUAAAGUAGGUUGCCUAUCAUGAUUCAAGCAUCAGUGACAAGAGGGGUGGCUCUGAUGGUAAGCAACCCUCACUUCCAAUCGAAAGGUUGUGAGUUCGAGUCUUCCCAAGAGUAAGGUGGGAAGUUCUUGGAGGGAAGGAAGUCGGGGGUCUAUUUGGAAACAACCUCUCUACUCAAGGGUAGGGGUAAGGUCUGCGUACAUAGUACCCUCCCCAGACCCGAUUAAGUGGGAUUAUAGUGGGUUGUUGUUGUUGUCUAUAAAGGUGAACCUAAACGUGCGGAGAGAGAAAGAUUCGAAUUCAAGAUCUUCAAAAUGAUCAGAGUAUUGGACUUGAGAAAGUUAUACUUUGAUAAUGGUAUUCCAACUUCAGCAUUUGAUUUAGUGCAUCUAAGGUAUCUAUCCUUGUACAGUGAAAAACAUGAAUAUCUUCCUCUUUCCAAACUUCAAAAUUUGCAAAUUUUGAUUGUUAAAACAGGAAAUAAUUGGGAAGAUAAGGAGCCUAUAGAAAUUUGGAGGAUGCCACAGUUAAAGACUGUAUGCUUUGUCAAGACAGGAUGGCAAUGUCCUCCGAAUAUGCCAAUAGGUGGAAGGGAGCAUACUGUUUUACAACACCUACAUACUUUAACUGGUGUUGGUGCUGCAUGGUGUGAAAAAGAAACCUUGUCAUUAAUGCCUAACUUGAAGAACCUGGAAAUUGUGUUAGGCGGCGUUACUCGUGAUUUGUGGAAACAUAUUUCCUGUUUGCCUCUAAUUGAGGUACUUAGAAAUAUAGUUGGAAAAUUUAUUAUAGUGACUUUUCCCUGUACAGAUCAAAAGCACAUGAAGACUUUUUGAAAUAUCGAACCACUUUUCCACCAACCCUUAGAAGGUUGACAUUAGGCGCGCGGGACAUGUCUUCCUUGGGAGGCUAUGGACAUUGUUGGCAUGUUGCCUAACCUCGAGAUACUGGAACUGGAAGACGAUUCCUGCGGAGUUAAACCUAAGAACGCAUGGGAACCCUCCGAAGAAGGGUUUCCUCAAUUAAAGUUCUUGUCACUAUGUCAUAUGCUUUGUUUCACAGAGUGGAAAGCUACAGAAGAUCAUUUUCCUGUCUUGGAGAGACUCUUCAUAUCUCAUUGUCUGCGCUAGAAGAGAUCCCACAAGAAUUUCCAAAUAUUUUUACACUUCAAUUGAUCGACUUACAUGACUGCUGUAUUCACCUGGCCAUAUCAGCACAGCAGAUUCAAAAAGAGCAAGAAGCCACUUAUGGAAGCCAAGUGACAAAUGUCCAUACAUACAAUUGUGGACAAGGUAAGAUCAUCCAUGUUUGAUCAUGCUUUGACAAAUAUAACAUAUUACCAAGCUUUUUUGUGAGUGUUAAAUAUUUCUUUAUACUGGAGUUUUGAUUCGAUCAACUUCAUGACUAAUGUGUUAAAAAAGCUAUCGACUGAAUUGAAGGAAGAAGAGAAAGGGAGAGGUGAGGGGCAAAUUCCAAAAUGAAUAAAACUUCUGAACAUAUUUUGACUAAACAAACUAUACUAAAGCCUUCUAAUCCUUUCAUUUCUCUUGUCGCCGUUUCAACAACAAUAACAACGACAAAUCUAGUGUGAUCCCACAAGUAGGGUCUUAGGAGAAUAGUGUCUAUGCAAUAUUACCCUUACCUUGUGAGGGUAAAGAUAUCUUGUGGCUGUUUCAUACGGUAAAAUUAGAUGCACAUUGCUUAUAACCUGUUUGGCCAAGCUGCAAAAAUAAGCUUAUUUUGAGAAGUGUUUUUUUACAAAAGUGCUUUUCUCAAAAGUACUUUUGGUGAGAAACAGUUUAUGUUUGGCUAAUUAGUUUGAAAAGCACUUCUGAGCAGCAAUUAGUGGUUGGCCAAGCUUUAAAAACUGCUUUUAAGUGUAUUUUUCUCAAAAAUGCUUCUCAAAAAAGUGCUUUUGGAGAGAAGCUACUUUUUUCUGUUUCUCCAAAACUGUUUGUGCUUCUCCUCAAAAAGUACUUUUUUCCCUUUCAGAAGCUUGGCCAAAUACCUUAAUUUUUUACCAAAAGUGCUUUUGGCAAAAAAAAAAAAUACUUUUGGCCAAAAAUAAGCUUGGCCAAACAGGCUAUUAGUCUCCUGCACUCCUCUCUUCUCUUUAACUUGACAAUUCGAGUACAGUAGAAGUUUUUUAAUAUGGUUGAGGAAAUAUUAAUACAAUUUUUUUUUUAAAUUUGACAUGUCGAAACACUUGAAUUAUUUGAAUUGCGCUGAAUUCUUAGAGUAACUUUGUUACAUUUGGAUUUUGGCAUACCACUUAUGCACCAACUUUUAUAACAAUAAUAUCAUUGGAAAUGAUUUAACAAAGAAAGAGCUAGAAUUAUAUUGGUUUUGAACUUGUUUAUUACUAGUAUCUUUUAAAUGCGUGAAGAUUAUAAUUCAACUGUAAUUUGAUGAUUAAGAUGCUAAUAUUUGUACUUCUUUUCUUUUUCAUAGCUUACUGCUUCCAAUGUCAACAUUUACUGAAGAGAAAUUCCGGCUGACUGAGGAAGGUAGCUGCAACCAUACUUCAUCAGAUCUUUCUAUUUUCCGUGAGCAUGGUGUUAAGAAAUUAAGAUCCUUAUGCAUUUGGUUUUGUUUUUAUUUCUUGCUUUUCAAUUUCAGUCAUCAUUUUUUAAGGCGAAAAUAAUAUUUGAACAAAAAAUACCCCUACUUAACACACUAAUAUGAACUACUGAAUAUUGGAAUAAAAUAUAUCAGAGGAAAAUGUGUGUCAUGAACUCCAGAUUUGAUUAUUUCUAUAUUCCAGUUUUAUUCAGCAGUGAAUAGCACAAAAAUUAUAGUAAAGGCAAUUUUAGAAAAUUGAGAGCAUUCAAAUCAAUUUGGUUGCUUCACCUGUUAUCUUUCUCUCGCCGGCGACGGUACUGGAAAGCCAACGUUGCGACGUGACGGCAAUCUCCGGUACCGCUCAACAAUCUCUGGAAAGAACUUUCCCGAUGGAUCGACGGAACCCUAACUUCAAUGAUUCUGCAUUCAAAAUUGUGAAAAUUAAUUGGUAUGGUUGGACUUGUCUCACGAGUACAGAGGUCAGAGAUGAUAAUAGUUAUGGUUUCUUAUUCAAAUUCAUUGCAACUCUUUUGAAUGUUUUCACAUAUACUCCCUCCUUUCAUUUUCUCCAGUUCAAACUUUAAACUCCAUGAGCAAUUUUUGGAGUUCGAACUAAUAAAAAUUUAAAUUCCAUGAAUUUUGUUUUUCGAGACAUCUCAUACUUCAAAAUAAUUCAUGGUAUUCAAAAAACUUUUAAAAUAGUGACUAAUGUUUGAUAGCAAGAAAUGGC